rnacentral:misc_RNA from 1 species
UGUCACGUUUGUAUCAAGUAAGUCAGCUUAGACCAAAUCUACCCCCGACUAGUUUUAUAUGGGUUUUUCUUAUUGUCUGGUUUGAAAAGUAGAAGGUUAUGGAAUAUUCAAAAAUUUUAGUUUUUAUGAGCUCAUGAAUGAUGAGUAGUAGAAGACAUUAAAGUCUGACGAUUAAUCCCUCUAAACUAUUACGAUGGUCGGAUAUUCUCGUAAUAAUUUA